rnacentral:rRNA from 1 species
AGAGAGAGACAUGCGCGCAUAUCAAUAAGCGGAGGAAAAGAAACUAACAAGGAUUCCCUUAGUAACGGCGAGUGAAGCGGGAGGAGCUCAAAUUUGAAAUCUUCAAGGUUUUACCUUGACGAAUUGUAGUUUAAAGAAGUGUUUUCUGCUGAAGUUUUGGUAAAAGUUCUUUGGAAUAGGACAUCAUAGAGGGUGAGAAUCCCGUAUUUGACCAUUAUUUUCAGCUUUGUGAUACACUUUCAAAGAGUCGGAUUGUUUGGGAAUGCAGUCCAAAAUGGGUGGUAAAUUUCAUCUAAAGCUAAAUAUUGGCGAGAGACCGAUAGCGAACAAGUACCGUGAGGGAAAGAUGAAAAGAACUUUGAAAAGAGAGUUAAACAGUACGUGAAAUUGUCAAAAGGGAAGCGUUUGACACCAGUGUUGUUUUCUCGAAAAUCAAUUAAAAAUGGCUCGAUUUUGUAUUGCUGAGACCUUAAAAGCUCACUGUACAUUUUUCGUGUCUUUCUUAAUGCACUUUUCGUUUAACAAGUCAACAUCAGUUUCUUUUGUUGUAAAAGAGUCAUUGGAAGGUGGCUUUCUUUUCGGAGAAAGUGUUUAUAGCCUUUGGCCUCUGCAAUCGGGAGAGACUGAGGUCUGCAGCGUAGACUCUUCGGGGUUAGAUACAUUUGUGCUAAGUUAUAGCUUUUUAUAGACAACUUGUUGACUAUAAUUAGUCUUGUAGCUUACUCGCUUAUGCUAUUUUACCUACGCUUAGGAUGUUGAAGAUGUAGCACAUCAU